rnacentral:rRNA from 1 species
CUGGCUCAGGAUGAACGCUGGCGGCGUGCUAACACAUGCAAGUCGAACGAAGCAGCUUCUGCUGCAAGAAAGCUGACUAGUGGCGGACGGGUGAGUAACGCGUGGGUAACCUGCCUCAUACAGGGGGAUAACAGUUGGAAACGGCUGCUAAGACCGCAUAACCCGCUAGUGUCGCAUGACACGGACGGAAAAUAUUUAUAGGUAUGAGAUGGGCCCGCGUCUGAUUAGCUAGUUGGUAAGGUAACGGCUUACCAAGGCGACGAUCAGUAGCCGACUUGAGAGAGUGAUCGGCCACAUUGGGACUGAGACACGGCCCAAACUCCUACGGGAGGCAGCAGUGGGGAAUAUUGGACAAUGGGGGAAACCCUGAUCCAGCGAACCGCCGCGUGAGUGAAGAAGUAUUUCGGUAUGUAAAGCUCUAUCAGCAGGGAAGAUAAUGACAGUACCUGACUAAGAAGCCCCGGCUAACUACGUGCCAGCAGCCGC